GAAAAAUAAUUAAAGAAUAAAAAAAACGAAAAUAAGAAGCUAGAGGUUGAAGAAGAUGCUGACAUGGCAUGGAAAAGUCAAACCAAACGCGUUUUUAUAAUAUAUACAAUUCCUUGUGUUAUAAUGAACAGAUGUAUAGCCACCCCGGUGGUACAAGCGCGUGCCCUAAGUCACUUAUAACCAAAAGGUUUGGGGUUUGAAUCCCCCUCCCCCCAGACU
rnacentral:lncRNA from 1 species